rnacentral:rRNA from 1 species
GAUGAACGCUGGCGGCGUGCCUAAUACAUGCAAGUCGAGCGAAUGGAUUGAGAGCUUGCUCUUAUGAAGUUAGCGGCGGACGGGUGAGUAACACGUGGGUAACCUGCCCAUAAGACUGGGAUAACUCCGGGAAACCGGGGCUAAUACCGGAUAACAUUUUGAACCGCAUGGGUCGAAAUUGAAAGGCGGCUUCGGCUGUGACUUAUGGAUGGACCCGCGUCGCAUUAGCUAGUUGGUGAGGUAACGGCUCACCAAGGCAACGAUGCGUAGCCGAACUGAGAGGGUGAUCGGCCACACUGGGACUGAGACACGGCACAGACUCAUACGGGAGGCAGCAGUAGGGAAUCUUCCGCAAUGGACGAAAGUCUGACGGAGCAACGCCGCGUGAGUGAUGAAGGCUUUCGGGUCGUAAAACUCUGUUGUUAGGGAAGAACAAGUGCUAGUUGAAUAAGCUGGCACCUUGACGGUACCUAACCAGAAAGCCACGGCUAACUACGUGCCAGCAGCCGCAGUAA